CGCUGAAUUCCCUCCUUUGGUCCUUAAAGAACUUCUGUUCUCAGUGAUUGGCCCCGGCGGAGAAGCCCAGAGAGACUGCGCCGCUGGUUCCAACUGCACACAGCGCUCCUCCUGCUCUUCCAGAAUCGAGGAAAGUUUGCUUCCCCAAGCAGGAGGACUGCAGAAGUGACCGGUGCUGAGCCAACCCCUCUCCACGCCUGCUCCCCUUUGGGCUCAGGGACCCCUGAUUCUAGGGCUGAGCCAGGGCCUGUGUGCAGAUGGAGGAGUCGUGCCUGCAAGCAGCCCCCCAGUAAGGCUCCCACACAAAAAUCUCGUCUCCGUGUCCGCCUCAAGGAACCUGAGCCCAGAUGUGACGGCCCCUGAGACAGCCAUCCAGCCGUGGGUGAGGCUCCACCUGGCGCCCACCUGAGAUUCCCCACGGUCGGACUUCCUGCCUCCUCUCUCCAUCUCCAGAGCCACCACCUGAGGCCUAGUGUCAUCUCAUGUCGGAAUCACCGAAGACUCCCAGUGGGUUCUCCCCACGCAGGGCAGCCAGAGGGUCUCCAGGAAACUCAGAGCUGACCCGGCCACUCUCUGGUGUCAAGUUCCCCCAGGCUG
rnacentral:lncRNA from 1 species